CAAGUUUUGUUAAUAUACUUCCAUGAGAUAUUCUCCACCAGCGUCUGUAUUGCCAGUUUAAUCUAUUUUUUUAACCAUCUUUUUUUUCUUUUUAUUUAUUUAACAAAUUAUUUAUAACACUGUUCAGCGAAAAAUAUUUUCGGUGGGUAAAUAUUUGAAUGUCAUAGUGUGAACUAUUAUCCUGAAAGGUGCUACAGCAUAUGAAGUACUACUAAAUGCAUUAAAUCGAGGUAAAAAUAUUUACAUAUAAAGGAAAAAUUGACAUUGCUAAUGUGGAUAGACGCAAAUACUUAAAGAUGAAAAUUCAAAGCUUUCAACAUAUGGAAAUAGUAUCACCUAUAACGAGAAAGGAUAUAAAUCUUUUAUGAAUUUCCUAUAGGUACAAGGUUAUCUGUUAUUUCGCAAUUAAUCCAAAAUUUAACAUUGUGUUUCAUUAUUGAUCUGAACUCGUUCAUUCAAACACGGGUGGGAUUCAUUCUAAAGACCAGAAAAUCUUACUCAAAAAUGUAAAAAUAUGUAAAAUUGAGGGUUCCAAAUUUUGAAACUUUCUCCAUCUUCAAAAUAUGUCUUCUAUGCACACUGACAUUGCUUUGCGUCAAGAAGUAUGUCGUUCGUAUGAAAAAUGACAAUUUGAAAUUUAUUCAUCUGUUUUUUUUUAAGCGAGUUGCUUUUAAUAGCCGUUAUGAAGUCUCGACGGUUUUGAUCAUAUUGCAAUGACUUUUGAUCAAAAGACCAGUCUGUUUAAAUACAUUGUGCUGGCUAAUGCACUUGGCAAAUAAACCCACAAAGACAGAAUGAAAAGCUAAUUAAGGUUAAAAAAUUAAAAUUACUGUUUUAAAUAUGCUAACCUUACAGAAAGAAUCUUAUUUACGUCUGUUUAAAAGUUGUUCUUCCUCUCACUACAACAGCUUGCUCUUUUUACGUAUAAUCAAAAUCAAUUAUCUCUUAAACUUCAGUCGCAAAUAUAAUAUUAUAGUACUCUUUUUCCUUUCGCUUCAACGCCAAUGCGGUUGAUUCAUGUAGUAUACACAGACUGACUCGCACAUAACACGUUUCCAUCCAACUCGAUUGGAAAGAAUUCUUU